rnacentral:rRNA from 1 species
CCACCUGAUCCCAUCUCGAACUCAGAAGUGAAACGAGUUAACGCCAAUGGUAGUGCAGGGUCUCCCUGUGUGAGAGUAGGAAAUCGUCAGGC